rnacentral:lncRNA from 1 species
GUUGGUAUGGUUCACCGAAGAUGUUAUAGCAUGGUUUGUUCACACGGGUGUUUUCGUGCAUUCCUACAUUAACUACUUUCCUCUUUCAGUAUAGUAUUGGCUUUUCAAUAAAAGUGUAUCAAUAGAUAGGGCAAGUUUCUGAACACUAAAUAUAGGGCUCUCUGCUUCGGGUAAUUCUUUUUUAGGCUUCUCUGGAUCUGGAAAAGUCCAUAGGGGCGGUGGCAUGGAAGGCCAUAUUCUACAUUUUGUAAU